rnacentral:sRNA from 1 species
GGAUGUGAGGGCAACCAGGUCAUGACGUCUCAAACACUAUUGCUGACCAGGGUUCAUUUGGCUCCUCUGGCUGGCUAAGCAGGUCCCCCAUCACCCUCACUACUCCAUGUGCAUCUCUCUGAAGAUACUUGUUUGGUUAAAGAGGAUGACCUUUCCCAAUUAGAAGCAAAUCUGCCUUCCUUUGACUGUCUAUGAGUACCUGCGCUUGCCUGACAGAACCUCCAAGCAAGCUCUCCUGGACUACAAGAGACCUUCUCCCCCCGCCGCCCCCCAGAACCUUGAAGCUGAGGUGCCAGGGCUUGCAG